GCUAUUGCACUUUAAAGUGUCAAAACAGCUCCUCUCGAUUUUGAAAACAUGUUUCCACGUGGAAGGGAGUAGUUGUGAUGGUCAACAUUAACCCACAUACAUUGAUUUAGUGAACAAAAACACUCGUACAGCUGUAGAGUACAUUUUGAACAGCCAUCUCCAGGAUAUACUCUGAAGACAGUGAUGUGCAAGUUCAAGGUUUGCUUGUUCAGAUACUUUAAUAAUAAAGAAUGGGUGAAAAAAUUCUCACAUUAUCAUGCUGCAUAAUAGUACAUUUCAGCUGUAACAAAACAAAUCAUCUGAUGAAAUCUUCAACCACGAGAAUCUAGGAAAGGAUGUCAAGUCCAAAGAGACGGCCAUAUAACAAAUGGUUGCUGAAUUCAUGAAGACUAGCUGGGUUGAUACAGUACUUUUCUACUCAUAUGAACCAUAUCUAAACAUCAUUUGAGGAUCCCUUUCUCAGAAAAAAAGAAUUUGCAUAUUCAAAGACUCUGUAGUUUAUUGUUUAUUUGU